GUUUUUAUAGUUUAAUUUUAAAACGUCGAUUUUGUAUAUCGAAUAUAUAUAUAUAUCUGAAUAUUUUAAAAACU
rnacentral:tRNA from 1 species